rfam:Actinoplanes missouriensis 431 DNA, complete genome.
ACCGGUCCUCGGUAGUGGUUCCCAGGCCCUCGUCCUGGGCACUUCGAUCGAAGACCGGC